UGACAACUCUCAACAACGGAUGUCUUGGCUCUCGCAACGAUGAAGAACGCAGCGAAAUGCGAUACGUAGUGUGAUCUGCACUGUACGUGAACCAUCGAAUCUUUGAACGCAUAUUGCGCUCGAGGCUUCGGCCGAGAGCAUGCCUGCCUGAGCGUCAGCG
rnacentral:rRNA from 1 species